UACGGAGGAGGCAAGCGUUAUCCGGAAUUAUUGGGCGUAAAGCGUCCGCAGGUGGCACCUCAAGUCUGCUGUCAAAGACCGGGGCUUAACCCCAGAAAGGCAGUGGAAACUGAAGUGCUAGAGUGCAGUAGGGGUAGAGGGAAUUCCCGGUGUAGCGGUGAAAUGCGUAGAGAUCGGGAAGAACAUCGGUGGCGAAAGCGCUCUGCUGGACUGCAACUGACACUCAGGGACGAAAGCUAGGGGAGCGAAAUGGG
rnacentral:rRNA from 1 species